rnacentral:rRNA from 1 species
AUUGAACGCUGGCGGCAGGCUUAACACAUGCAAGUCGAGCGGGGGAAGGUAGCUUGCUACCGGACCUAGCGGCGGACGGGAGAGUAAUGCUUAGGAAUCUGCCUAUUAGUGGGGGACAACAUCUCGCAAGGGAUGCUAAUACCGCAUACGUCCUACGGGAGAAAGCAGGGGAUCUUCGGACCUUGCGCUAAUAGAUGAGCCUAAGUCGGAUUAGCAGGUUGGUGGGGCAAAGGCCGACCAAGGCGACGAUCUGUAGCGGGUCUGAGAGGAUGAUCCGCCACACUGGGGCUGGAACACGGCCCAGACUCCUACGGGAGGCAGCAGUGGGGAAUAUUGGACAAUUGGGGGAACCCUGAUCCAGCCAUGCCGCGUGUGUGAAGAAGGCCUUAUGGUUGUAAAGCACUUUAAGCGAGGAGGAGGCUACUCUAGUUAAUACCUAGGGAUAGUGGACGUUACUCGCAGAAUAAGCACCGGCUAACUCUGUGCCAGCAGCCGCAGUAA